rnacentral:rRNA from 1 species
UACAGAGGUCCCAAGCGUUGUUCGGAUUUACUGGGCGUAAAGGGAGCGUAGGUGGCAUUCUAAGUCUGAUGUGAAAGCUCUGAGCUUAACUCAGAAAUGGCAUUAGAUACUAGUUUGCUUGAGGAUUGGAGGGGAGAUUGGAAUUCCUGGUGUAGCGGUGAAAUGCGCAGAUAUCAGGAGGAACACCGGUGGCGAAGGCGGAUCUCUGGGCCUUACCUGACGCUCAGGUGCGAAAGCUAGGGGAGCGAACAGG